UUCCUUUUCAAACCAAUACACACUAAUGUAGCCAAUUAUUAGGACAAGUUGGUCGACUUUUAUUCAACUUGCUUGAAGUUCUUGAUUAAUAAGUAGUUAAUCAAGAACUGGUGUUGUACAGUAUGGAGCCAUUAAUUAAAAGUUGUUGAUUGCUAAUUUAGAAGCAAGGCAUGCAUCCACAGCUUCAGCAACUAUGAGGAA
rnacentral:lncRNA from 1 species